UACAGAGGAUGCAAACGUUGCUCGGAUUUACUGGGCGUAAAGCGCGCGCAGGCGGUCCUGUAAGUCGAGUGUGAAAUCCCGGGGCUCAACCUCGGACGUGCACUCGAUACUGCGGGACUGGAGUACUGGAGAGGAGAGCGGAAUUCCCGGUGUAGAGGUGAAAUUCGUAGAUAUCGGGAGGAACACCAGUGGCGAAGGCGGCUCUCUGGACAGAUACUGACGCUGAGGCGCGAAAGCGUGGGAAGCAAACAGG
rnacentral:rRNA from 1 species